rnacentral:rRNA from 1 species
GAUGAACGCUGGCGGCGUGCCUAAUACAUGCAAGUCGAGCGAACGGACGAGAAGCUUGCUUCUCUGAUGUUAGCGGCGGACGGGUGAGUAACACGUGGAUAACCUACCUAUAAGACUGGGAUAACUUCGGGAAACCGGAGCUAAUACCGGAUAAUAUUUUGAACCGCAUGGUUCAAAAGUAAAAGACGGUCUUGCUGUCACUUAUAGAUGGAUCCGCGCUGCAUUAGCUAGUUGGUAAGGUAACGGCUUACCAAGGCAACGAUGCAUAGCCGACCUGAGAGGGUGAUCGGCCACACUGGAACUGAGACACGGUCCAGACUCCUACGGGAGGCAGCAGUAGGGAAUCUUCCGCAAUGGGCGAAAGCCUGACGGAGCAACGCCGCGUGAGUGAUGAAGGUCUUCGGAUCGUAAAACUCUGUUAUUAGGGAAGAAUAUAUGUGUAAGUAACUGUGCACAUCUUGACGGUACCUAAUCAGAAAGCCACGGCUAACUACGUGCCAGCAGCCGCGGUAAUACGUAGGUGGCAAGCGUUAUCCGGAAUUAUUGGGGGUAAAGCGCGCGUAGGCGGUUUUUUAGUCUGAUGUGAAAGCCCACGGCUCAACCGUGGAGGGUCAUUGGAAACUGGAAAACUUGAGUGCAGAAGAGGAAAGUGGAAUUCCAUGUGUAGCGGUGAAAUGCGCAGAGAUAUGGAGGAACACCAGUGGCGAAGGCGACUUUCUGGUCUGUAACUGACGCUGAUGUGCGAAAGCGUGGGGAUCAAACAGGAUUAGAUACCCUGGUAGUCCACGCCGUAAACGAUGAGUGCUAAGUGUUAGGGGGUUUCCGCCCCUUAGUGCUGCAGCUAACGCAUUAAGCACUCCGCCUGGGGAGUACGACCGCAAGGUUGAAACUCAAAGGAAUUGACGGGGACCCGCACAAGCGGUGGAGCAUGUGGUUUAAUUCGAAGCAACGCGAAGAACCUUACCAGAUCUUGACAUCCUUUGACAACUCUAGAGAUAGAGCCUUCCCCUUCGGGGGACAAAGUGACAGGUGGUGCAUGGUUGUCGUCAGCUCGUGUCGUGAGAUGUUGGGUUAAGUCCCGCAACGAGCGCAACCCUUAAGCUUAGUUGCCAUCAUUAAGUUGGGCACUCUAAGUUGACUGCCGGUGACAAACCGGAGGGAGGUGGGGAUGACGUCAAAUCAUCAUGCCCCUUAUGAUUUGGGCUACACACGUGCUACAAUGGACAAUACAAAGGGCAGCGAAACCGCGAGGUCAAGCAAAUCCCAUAAAGUUGUUCUCAGUUCGGAUUGUAGUCUGCAACUCGACUACAUGAAGCUGGAAUCGCUAGUAAUCGUAGAUCAGCAUGCUACGGUGAAUACGUUCCCGGGUCU